rnacentral:rRNA from 1 species
UACGUAGGGGGCAAGCGUUAUCCGGAAUUACUGGGUGUAAAGGGAGCGUAGACGGCAAUGCAAGUCCGGAGUGGAAUGCGGCAGCUCAACUGCCGAACUGCUCUGGAAACUGUAUGGCUUGAGUGCAGGAGGGGUAAGCGGAAUUCCUGGUGUAGCGGUGAAAUGCGUAGAUAUCAGGAGGAACACCGGUGGCGAAGGCGGCUUACUGGACUGUAACUGACGUUGAGGCUCGAAAGCGUGGGGAGCAAACA